rnacentral:lncRNA from 1 species
UUGUUGAUACUAUUAGGCAGACCCGGGAGUUUUUACAACCAUUUCCCUUAUUAACCCUUUUCUUACGGGAACCUGGUGUUCCCUGUGUUAAGCUUAUUGGACCUAUACAAUUCAGUAGUCAACGGGUUAAACAUGAAUAUCAGCGAGAGAUUAAUGACCAUCUGUAAGGUUUCAUAAUUAAGUACUUUCCAGUAGCAUCGUAUCAUUUCCGGGCGGAGAGUUCACAGCGGGGGAGAGUUCGAGAUAGUAUGCAGAUACUUUUUUCAUUAAUACGACCGCCUGAUGAGGAGAGUGAAAAAGUAAUAAACAUCCUCUCCCAUCCUCACCAUGAUCACAAUUCUACCACAGGCGUUCUGGCCAAUAUACUGUUAUCGUGUGGUAUAUAUAAUCGGUAGUGUAUUCAAGUGUUGUUGAUCUAUACUGAAGAGCCAUCGUAAAUAACCAUCGCAUGUAUGAACUCUCAUCUGUUGUCUGUGUUGUUCGUACACAAAUCACCAUGGAAACGGCGUUCGGGGUAUGCACGUGCUCUGUGUCAUCUAAUUGGAGAGGAUUGCUUAGCAGUAAGGGUGUCAUUUUAUCAUCUCUCAUCGUGUUAGCUACCUUAGGUUACGCAUCGGCGGAAACAGAGACAUCGUCUCCAACUACUGCUUCGUUACAGAUCUCCCAAGACGCUUCAAACGUGAGCACGUCAAAAGACAAUCUUCCAUCCACAUUUACAUCUGUGCCUUAUACUGAAAUCUCAGUUGGACCAACUGACACAUUCUCAUCAUCAGCGUCACAAUCAUCGUCUCCAUCAUCGCAAUUGCCAACAGUAUCUCCUGAUGCUUUAUCUACAUCAACGGAAUCAAAGUCCUCAUCUUUUAAGACAUUAGCACCGAACUCAUCGGAGAGUCCCACAUUACACUCUUCCAGUGAAGAGCCAUCGAAUAUCUCUGAGAAUUUCACAACAUCUUCAACGAAUCCAACGUCAAGCAGUCCCAGUGUCGCUUCCGGGAAAACAGCGUUCACGUCAAGGUCGUUCUCGACGUCGCCAUCGUCAGCAACGGAGUCGUCGUCAUCAUCACAGACGACUAUCAACUCCGAACCGACAAAUAAGCCUGGCGAGGUUUCAUCAACUGAAGAACCAUCCAGGACUGAUUUCAGUUCCAGGUUCACCCCUCCAGUAGCCUCCACGGAAGUUCCAGCAGGAUCCAGCGAGAUGACCGACGAAGCGAUCGGAAGCGAUUUGGACAGGAGGACGGUCGUCGGCUCGACGUCGAACAAUUCGGCAUCGGAGCUACCGAAGAUCCACUUCACACUCUUCACGGACUGGUGGCACGCCACGAUCCUCCUCGGCAUCGAGGUCUUCUUCUACAUCAUCACACUUGGUAUCAUCUACUUCAUGCGCAGGAACAACAUCCGCUGGCCUCAAGUCCUGCAGGACGAUUCAGACUCACAGUCAGACACAGAACCAUUUGGGUAGCCAUUUGCCCAACUUUGAAGCGCUUGAUGCCUACGUCCUCUGGCUUUUGUUGGGAAACCCUUGAUUUGUUGACGUUAAAGAUGAUUCCAGACGGCUCUUUGAAAUUUGUGUUAAAAUUCGAUGACAGUUUCAUAUAUAGGCAUAUUUAUUUUUUUACUUGCAAUGCCUACAAAGAUACAUGUCCAAAUUUCAAUCGAAAUGAUUUAUAGGUCUAAAGAUGAUAUAAAGACCCGUACAGUUAUUUAAUUCAGUCGGUAUUAUCGACUCGGAUGAAUCAUUUUCAGAAUUUGAGGGAACAAAUAUAUGCUGUGAUUAUGGGUGUUGAUUCUAAAACUCCUAGCUCACAUUACUCAGUGCGCCAUUUUUUGAUGCACCUACUGCGAACGUGUGCGUUGUUCUCAGGUUUUAACACAUCAAGAUAGAGGAGAUAUUUGCAGACAUUUGCUGAAAUGGAUAUUGUAGUCGACUUUGAGACAAUCAUUUGAUAUUUUUUCUUUCGAUUAUCGAUGUUGUACAUACACACUGAAAGUAGCUCGAAUGUGAGAGCAGGUUGUCAACGUACAAUAAUAUAGUAUGGGACUGUAA